GACGAACGCUGGCGGCGUGCUUAACACAUGCAAGUCGAACGGUGAAGCGCCUUCCUUUUUGGUGGGUGUGGAUGAGUGGCGAACGGGUGAGUAACACGUGAGUAACCUGCCCCCUUCUUCUGGAUAACCGCAUGAAAGUGUGGCUAAUACGGGAUAUUCUGGGUCUGUCGCAUGAUGGGUCUGGGAAAGAUAUUGUUUCGGUGGGGGAUGGGCUCGCGGCCUAUCAGCUUGUUGGUGGGGUGAUGGCCUACCAAGGCGGUGACGGGUAGCCGGCCUGAGAGGGUGGACGGUCACACUGGGACUGAGACACGGCCCAGACUCCGACGGGAGGCAGCAGUGGGGUAUAUGGCACAAUGGGCGCAAGCCUGAUGCAGCGACGCCGCGUGAGGGAUGGAGGCCUUCGGGUUGUGAACCUCUUUCGCCAGUGAAGCAGGCCUGCCUCGUUUGUGGGUGGGUUGACGGUAGCUGGAGAAGAAGCGCCGGCUAACUACGUG
rnacentral:rRNA from 1 species